rnacentral:rRNA from 1 species
UCGAGAAUCAUUCGCAAUGGGCGAAAGCCUGACGAUGCGACGCCGUGUGAGCGAAGAAGGCCUUAGGGUCGUAAAGCUCUUUCGCUUGGGAACAAGAUAAGCCGGCUAAUAUCCGGCAAGUUUGAGCGUACCAGGUAAAGAAGCACCGGCUAACUCCGUGCCAGCAGCUGCGGUAAUACGGAGGGUGCAAGCAUUAAUCGGAUUUAUUGGGCGUAAAGGGCGCGUAGGCGGGGGUGCAAGUCAGAUGUGAAAUCCCGGGGCUCAACCUCGGAACAGCAUUUGAAACUACAUCUCUAGAGGGUAGGCGGAGAAAACGGAAUUCCACAAGUAGCGGUGAAAUGCGUAGAUAUGUGGAAGAACACCGGUGGCGAAGGCGGUUUCUAGCUUAUUCCUGACGCUAAAGCGCGAAAGUAAGGGGAUCAAACAGGAUUAGAUACCCUGGUAGUCCUUACUGUAAACUAUGUAUACUUGGUGUAACCGGAC